rnacentral:rRNA from 1 species
AGAACGAACGCUGGCGGCAUGCCUAAUACAUGCAAGUCGAACGAGAUCUUCGGAUCUAGUGGCGCACGGGUGCGUAACGCGUGGGAAUCUACCCUUGGGUUCGGAAUAACAGUUGGAAACGACUGCUAAUACCGGAUGAUGACGAAAGUCCAAAGAUUUAUCGCCCAGGGAUGAGCCCGCGUAGGAUUAGCUAGUUGGUGAGGUAAAGGCUCACCAAGGCUACGAUCCUUAGCUGGUCUGAGAGGAUGAUCAGCCACACUGGGACUGAGACACGGCCCAGACUCCUACGGGAGGCAGCAGUAGGGAAUAUUGGACAAUGGGGGCAACCCUGAUCCAGCAAUGCCGCGUGAGUGAUGAAGGCCUUAGGGUU